GCGCCUAGAAAGGGACCGGGCCGGCCGCCAUAUUGGAGCCCUGGAGCUGCGGCGGGCCAAGGCUUCGUGGGGCUCGUGGAGCUGAGAGGUGGCAUGGUGAGAAUGGUGAGGCGAGGAUAUAGAACUUAUAGCCUCGCGCAUCGGCUAGGACUAGACGGAGGCUACACUGGGGACCGGCAGGGCUGUCGUGCCAGAAAUGGCAUCGCAGGGAUUGCACAAGGCCUCGCUACCCGGGGACACAGGGCGUCGUUUUACCUCUGAGCGUGUAGGACCCCCUUAGACUUCUUGGGCACUAUCUGGGCAAAAGGUGUCUUUGUUGUGGUGUGGGAACUCGGGACGGCGGGCUUCGCCCCUGUAGGACGAAAAGCCAGCUCGCACCGUGAAAGUGGAGCCUAGGUUAAUUUUUUUUUUUUUGACUUGUCAUUUUUCUCCAUUCCCCGUGGUCUUUCCUCAGGUGUCUGACCCCUGCCCCAACCACUGAAUUUUCGUUACGUCCUGGAUUGCAAAGGACCUCAGAGCAAUCUUUGGUAGAUAACAUGAUCACGAAGGAUUAUAGCUUUGCCCUGAUAAUGACAAAGGAAGUAUCUACCAGAAGAAGUUAGCACUUAAUCUUUCUUACCCCACCAGCGAAUGUAAACGACAUUGAAAAGGGACUACAAGUAAGCAAUCUUACUCGGACUGAUGCUGAAUGAACUAAUGCUUGUAUUCAAAGUUGAUAACCAUGGAAAACUUUUUUGUUACCUCUAUAUUAAUUGUGCAAAAUAAUGUGUUUCGUUGUGACAUCUUCAUGCAAGUAAUGUUAGUUAACACGUUCAUCAACCCCUUCCCUUACCCACCAAUGAAAAUGCAUUCAGAUUACUUAAAGGACUUUGGAGCCUAUUUGCUCUGCAUCUCAAAUUACACCUUUUCCCCAGUAACUAAAACAGUACUGUGUGUUUGUUUUUCAGGUUCUGAGGUUCACUAGAGAAAGAUACUAGAAGACCUGCUGAGGGUCUCUGAGAAGUUAAAAAUGCUGAUAUGCAUAAUUUGUGUAUUUUAUUUUUCCCUCCUGAGCUUUUCGAAGGAGAUGCAUAGCUUGGUGGUGAGGAUUCACACAGCACGGUCAAGACCCUGGAUUGGAUCCCUGGCACUGGUUUGUUUGUAUCAGUGAAAAUACACACUGUGCCUUUGUUAGAAGUUAAUAAAAUUCAGCUGACAUGUAGAUCUUCCUUUCAAAAAGCUAGGCAGGCUGCUUUUAAAAUUGCCAAAACACAAUAGGAACCCUCAAAGAUAUAUGGAGAUGAUGGUAGUUAAUAGGCAGUUUUCAAAGACUUGGCUUAUGUUGUGAGAAGCAGCCCCAGAAGUGGCAAAAGCCAUUCUUGUGACUUCAGCAACCUAAAAACCUCAGAAAUAUGACGAUUCUUCUACCUGUAAUGAUGGAACCGCUACUUGGAUCAAGAAAAAGCAAAAAGAAAAAUUACAUUUUUGAGUAUGUUUUCUGCACAUAUCCCAAAGAAGUGCAGCAACCAUUGUCAUACAGACCUGGUGACAAAAGUUCUGUUUAAAGCACACCAUCUGUGCAUGAUUUCAUUAAACAUACCAGGACUUGGGAAGUUUGAGUUAAGAACUGGCUUGGGCAUUCCAAGAUCAUAUCUCAGAAAACAUCCUGGAUGCUGGGAUUAAAGUGUAACCGUUGAUGAACUCCACUCUCCGCGAAAAAUAAUACCAAGAUUUUUGGAGUUCAUAGCUCACAAUUCAACAGUUCUUAAUCCUUAUACACAUACAGAGAGAUUUUCACAUACUUGUCCAGAAUGAAAAGCAAUGUAGACAAAAAAUUCUCUUUGAACAAACACAAUAGUAUAAGUGAAGAAUGAUUCCCAAGGCCCUCUGCUCCGCAUAGGAACCUUAGAUCAGAAUCUGACCCUAUCAGUACUGAUACUACUUAACUGUGAGUGGUCCUUAGUAACAGGUACUGAGCUCAGUGAUUCCUAAUGUCAACCUAGCGGGACCUGGACUUGUUACAAUACACACAUAGACCACUGCUAAGUUCCAGGAGCUAAAUACUGCCUCGUUGAUCCUAAGCAUAUAGGAUAAAGGGCUUUCCCUUCCAGAACAGUUAAUAUGCCUGGGCCAUGUGUUACUGAAGUACAGCAGAUCUAUCACAGUUUUAAAAACAAUGCUGUCUUUUUCUUUUCCUUUGGAGCUGGGGACCGAACCCAGGGCCUUGCACUUGCUAGGCAAGCGCUCUACCACUGAGCUAAAUCCCCAACCCUAAUACUGUCUUUUUAAGACAGGGUUUUACCUUAUAGACUAGGUUGGCCCCAAAUUUGGCAAUCCAUCUGCUUUUGCCUCCUGAGUGCUAGUAUUAUUUAAGGGGUUACUUUCUGUGGGUUGUAGGUAUAGGUGAGUGCUGAUGUCAGAGGAGGCCAGAGGUGCCAGAUCUCCCUGUACCUAGUUAACUAAGUAACUAUGAGGUACCCAACUUAGUUGUUGGGACCCAAACUUCAGCCGGAUGAUAGAACAACAUUCACAGUUAACCAGUAGGCAUCACCAAUUCCUUGAGAGCUACAUCCACUCCGUCUUCCUGGUCCUAUUUUCCCGCACUCACCACCACCAGGUCUUGAGAUGGAUUGGAUUAGCCUGUAAUUUAGAACUCUGGUUGCCUUCCAAAAGCUGCGAUUGCUGGCUUCUCUAACCAGCUUCUGGCUUCUGUUUUUGUUUAAAAAAAUAAAUAACUGGGUGUGGUGGUACGUGCUUUUAAGUCCUGGCACUGGGGACAUGAAGGUAGGAGGAUAUUCAAGGUCAGCUUGGUGUAGAGUUUCCAGGACAGCCUGGCCUAUAUAAACUCAACCAGUUGUGUUUUUAAGACGGGAUUUCUGUAACCCCAUAGUAUAAUCAUGCCAUGUUUGUAUAUACAAGGCACUAAUUUUGGUCUGUCAAAGAAUCUGCUCUGUAGCCAGGCUGACCUCAUGUUCUGGCCUGCCUCUGCCCACUGAGCGCUCACAGCCACCUCCCUCAGCCAAUUUUUUAAGAUAAUUAGGAAUGAAUGUACCCUUUUAUCACUUGACUAGAAAAUGGUAGUCAACCAAUAGAGGUAGGAAAAUCUUCAAGAUUUAUAAUGCCCUCUCUCCAAAAGCUAAGUACAAAAUCAUCUACUUUCUAACUCCUCUUUCCUGCAGCAAAAGACUUGUUCACACACCAGCAAGCUACAGCUAGCAGCCAGACGGUGUUACAUGAAUUGGGCCUUUUCUUCUGCUUCGCAUGUACACAGUAGUUGUAGCAUAGUUGGUAAAUGAAUAUCUUGUUAAAUAUACAACUGGUGGAUUGCUUAGUCCUUCAAAAUUUGACCUAGCAUUGGAUGUAAUAGACUAGUUUACAACAGGGACACAUAGAACGGCCCAUGUAUUUAGAAGUAAAAUCUCUUAGGGAUGGGAAAGAUGGCAGAUCACUUAAGAGACCUUGCUCUUAUAGAAGUCCCAGUACCUAAAUUUGAUGUCUCACAAAUUUUGCAAAAGUUGCAGGAGAUCUGACACCCUCUUGCCUCCAUGUGCAUCUGCAUGAAUGUGCUGCACGUAUGCUCAAUAUAUGUUAAGGUUUGUGUCAUAAUUCAUUGAGUGCCAUGACCUAAAAACAUAGUUAAGUGUAUCUUGUAAAGAUGUGCCUACAAAAUAUCUCCAAAGUGAAUGGAUGAAAGACAGACCUGCCCUCAGUUUAAUAUAUUUUUAGACUCAAUCUAAAGUGCCUAGGUUGUGUGUGUGUGCCAACAAAAGACGUAGAUUCUCUGGGUGGCUGUGAGUUCCAAGGUAAGUGCUGGAAUGGGCUCUUAACCUCCUAAUACACAAUUUCAAAUUUUAAUGAGAUCUGGGAGAGUAGUAUAAUCAUGCCAUGUUUGUAUAUACAAGGCACUAAUUUUAGUCUUCAGAUGGCUACAUAUAUUGACUGGCUUUUAACUUACAAAGAUCUACUUGCUUAAUUAUAGCUGUAGCAAUUCAUGAAAGGAUAUUAAGGGAUCUGCAUUUACACAUUUUAACAUUAAAACAACAUGUAAGUAAUGGGCUCUGUGAUCAAAUUCUACAUAAUUAAAAGCUCUGCCCUCUUAUUUGUUGACAUAUUUGUGAAAUAAACUACUGAGUCAGGGCUGCAGCUCAGUUGAUAGUGUUUGCAUGAAGCCCUGUAUUUGCCUGCAGCACUCAAGAAAUAA
rnacentral:sRNA from 1 species